rnacentral:lncRNA from 1 species
AGUGCAACUCCAUGCAAUACCAACAAUGAUGUUGCUGACUAUCCAGCAGUUGAGGAAAAACCUGAAGAACCAGCGAUUGAGAAAAAACCUGAAGAACCAAUGGCUAAGGAGAAACUUGAAGAACCAAUUGUUGAGGAUAAACCUGAAAAAUCAGUGAUAGAGGAGAAAUCUGAAAAACUAGCAACUGAAGAAACACUUGGAGAGCAAGCAGGGGAGGAAACACCUGAAGCACUAGCAGUUGAAGAGAAACCUGACAAAUCAACAGUUGAAGAGACAGUUGAAGAACUAGCUAUUGAACAGAAACCUAAAAAAACAGCAGUUGAAAAAGAGAAACCUGAAGCCGUAACUCUCCUGGAAAAGGUGAUCAAGCACUGUCACAGAGAUUCCUUGCUCUAUACGUGCAAGGAAUUUACAUCUACUUAUCUACUGAAAGAUUUAGUGAAACUUUAAAUUCUUCUUGCAGAAUAUGCCAGUUGUAGAUUCAAAGGACAAGAUUAACAGUGAAAUUCCAUGCAAUGCCAACAAUGAUGUUUUUGACUAUCCAGCAGUUGAGGCAAAACCUGAAGAACUAGCAAUUGAAAAAAAAUAUGAAGAACCAGUAGUUAUAUUGGAGAAACCUGCAGAACUAGCAGUUGAGGAGACACCUGAAAAAUCAGUAGUUGAAGAGAAGCCUGAAAAACCAGCAGCACGGGAAGAAGCACUUGAAGAACCAGCAUGGGAAGAAACACCUGAAGAACCAACAGUUGAAGAGAAACUUGAUAAACCAGCAACUGAAAAAGAGAAACCUGAAAAGGUAACUUUCCGCGAAAAGGUGAGGAUCAAGCACUAUCACAAAGUUCGCCCAUCCUAAUAGUCUUGUAUGUGCAAGGAAUUCACAUAUGCUUUUUUAUUGAAAGACUAAGUGAAACCUUCAAUUCUUCUUGCAGAAUAUGCCUGUUGUAGACUCAAAUGGUAAGACUGGCAGUAAAAUUACAUGCACUACCAAAAAAGAUGUUGCUGAUAAUCCAGCAGUUGAGGAUGAAGAACCAGCAGUUGAGGAUAAACCUGAUGAACCAACAGUUGAAGAAAAACCUGAAGAACCAGCAAUUGAAGGAAAACUUGAGAAACUGGCAGUUGAAGAUAAACUUGAGGAACCAGCUUUUGAACAGAACCCUGAGGAAACAGCAGUUGAACAGAACCCCGAGGAACCGCCAGUUGAAGAAAAACCUGAGGUACCAGUAGUUGACGAAAAAGCUGAAGAACUAGUGGUUGAAGAGAAACUUGAAGAACCAUCAGUUAAAGAAAAGCCGGAAGAACAAAGCAGGGAAGAAACCGAAGCUCCCAUAAAAGAGGCAAAGCAUAACCAGAAUGCAAAUGAAGCAAGCAGCAGUCUGCCAACAGCUAUGCUAAGCCAUCCGCCUGCUCAAGGGACAACAAUGACCAACCCAAUAUUGGGAGAACCAAUUAGUAUUGACGAACCUAAAAAUGUGCAACAGCUAGAUUCUCAAGAAAUAUCAGAAAUCGAUGAUGCAAUGCAGAGAGAUGAAGAUAACAUAAAGCAGAAGGAUGAGGCUUCUUUCACUGAAGAACAGAAGUUUACACCACAGAGUGAGUAAUACUAGUUCACAGACAUGCUUUCCCUAUCCAAUUGAUUUUAUUUGCAAUGGAAAAUGGUGACACACUUUAGAUAACAGAUCAAAUCGAUUUAACCAUAGUCUUACUCGCAAAAAGUAGAGAAAAAUACAAAUGGAACCAAUCUCUAAAAGGAAGCUGAAAUGGAGAGAAGCACCAGAGACAAGAUGCCUUUCUGUUUUGGAGAAACCUCGAAAAAGUAGAAUGCACAUCCACAGUAUUUAGCAAUAAUGAUCAUCUAUCAUUACAUAUAUGAACAUAAUUUAUUUAUUACUACAUUGAUAUAAUAAAGAAAUCCUAUGAUAUGCUUUUGCUAAGAUAUUAGGGCUAGCAGCAUUCAUUAAGCCAUAAAUUCCAAUAUGGAUGUAACAAGCACUUUUUUGGGGGUUCAAAGAGAUGCACUUUCUAGUCACUUCAAUAAUGACUAGAUGUGGUAUUAACUACUACCGACAUAUUGCAGGUUAUGACAAUCAAAAUACUUCGACAGGGGAUAGUUUCUUAAAUAAGAACAUGUUCGCUGAAGGUGAAGCUGUGCACAUUAAUAGUCAAGAGGAUCUAAUCAGGCAAGAAACUUCAGGAAGCACAAAAUCUGAGAUAAAUCCAAAUUCAAGUAAAGGAACAGAAAAUGAGGCAAGUGAUAUUGCUAAUAGAGAAGGAUCAAGCAGACUUGGUUAAGUAAAUAAUUUAGUUGCUCUUCGUCCUUAUUGUUCUAAACUUGAUGAGCUACUUGGUUAUGCAGGUAAAUGACCAUCCAGAAGGACCAGAAGUACCAAAACAAACUGAUGAAACGGAAAAAUGUAUAGUACAGAAGCAAGAAGAUUCCGUUCGCAACCAGGACGAACUGGCUGUUGAAGAAAAAAUGAGAUCUUGUGAAGAGGUUGAAACAAAGGUAUUAGAUGAUCUGGCUUCUAUUAAUACUCUGAUCUUUCCUGUCCAUAGACUAAUGAUAGCCAAAACUAUAACUUCAAAACAUAUAAACAAACUUAAAGAUAUAAAUGCUGGUGAUGGAAUGGAACAAAUAAAAACAUUAUGGAAAAAGAAGAAAAGACUUUGGACAAAAUUCUGACGUCCACCAAAGAAGAAAUUGGUACCAAGAACUCUGAAGAAGGCCAAGUGGUUUCAGAGAUUCCCAGUCAAGAGUUUAAGUGACCAUAGAAGCCUGUUCUUAAUUCAUAUAUGUAACUCUCAGAUAUAAAGAUGCCUUCUCUCUUUCUACUAAAAUCACAAAAUUCCCUCUUUUUCAAAUCUGCAGAACUUUCAACAAGCUAAUUUAAUCAGAGAUGAAGCUUUAUUGAAAGAUGAGCAUGGAGUCGAGAACUUCGUGGUAGUUUCUUCAGAAGAAAUUAGUUGUGAAGGCUCUAUUGAAAAGUUAAACGAAAUGAGAACCUGAGAAUGAAUCAGCCAAUUAGCAUCAAGGCACUCAUAUGACAACCAUUCACUGAGGGUCUUAAGUUUAUUGCAUGCAUAUGAAUUAUCUUGCCACCUUGUCUUUCUGGGAGAAAUAUUAAAAUUCAAGUCUGAAAGUAUUUGAAGUAUAUAGUUCGUAGUAACUACUAACUACUAUAAAUUUAAAGUUCUCCAUAUAAAACAAAAUAAGUCUUCACUUCCUUUCCCAGAGUUUUUGUUUAUUCUGUAGUUAUUGCACAAAAUGGGAAACAAUAGAUGAUAAGAUGAUAUAUACAAGAAAUAGAAAAUUAAUUCACUGCUGAUAGAGUAUAUUCUAUUGCACAAAUAUCAACCAUCUUUGCUCUUUUAUUUGUUUAUUUAUUUAUUUUGUUCGAGGCUAUUACAAGUGAGACAUCCUAGUAUCAUUGGGAUUCAUAUGCGCUUCUUUUGAAAACUAAGUCGAAACAAAAAUUAGCCAAAUGCUGACAAAUGGGUAUGACUUAUUUUUCUGAAAAAGAACGGACCAUUGACAUUGCAAAUCGAGUAUUCCUUUGAGUCUUUGAAACAAUAAGUUGCAAGGGAAGGUUUAAGCAAAUUUCAAAUAUUGCAGGUAGAUGCCUUCAUGCAUUUAUUCUGAUCAUUUUAUUGGUUUUCUUCGGCAGACUCUUUUAACAUUGACAAAAAGAAAGAUUCUUCUUGGAGAAUUAUCAGUUAAUAAAGGAAGAGGCAGUGGAAACUCUUUCUCGGGGAAUUCCAAAAUAUGACCUUAAGAGAAUUCACAUGACGUUAAGCUAGAAACCAAGGACUUAAACCACUAGGCCACGGCAACUGUAUUUCAGUUAUAAACAGGAAUCUUGCUAAAAUAAGAAGUCCCAAAAAUCAUCAUGUAGACAUCUGUUAACUUGAUAUAAUGCUCGGCAGUUGACAAUUACUAAAACCAUCUGGAGAUUAAGAUAUGAACACCUUCUUCUCUCGUUAGAAUGAUUCUUAUAUGCAUAACUCCUUGUCCUUUUCUCACCAGUGUAUGUAACAUACUAAACAAUGGUAGCACUCAAAAUAUUCUGAGCAAUCACGAUCAUUGUUGCAGAACAGUUGAGCAUGUGUAAUAACCCUAUGCGAGAUGCAACCAAAAGAAUUCCACCAUCCUAUUAGUUCCGUAUGUGUAAGGAAUUCACAUCUACUUAUCUAUUGAAAGACUAAGUGAAACUUUAAAUUCUUCUUGUAGAAUAUGCCGGUUGUAGACUCGAACGACAAGACUGACAGUGAAAUUUCAUGCAAUACCGACAAUGAUGUUGCUGACCAUCCGGCAGUUGCAGAAAAACCCGAUGAUUCAGCAGUUGAAGAGAAACCCGAGGAAUGGAUAGUUGAAGAGAAACUGGAAGAAACAGCCGUUAAGGAGAAAGCCGAAGAACCAAAAGUUGAGGAGAAACUCGAAGAACCAGCAAUUGAGGAGAAACCUGACAAACCAGCGGUUGAAGGGACACCUGAAGAACCUGCAGUGAAAGAAACACCUGAACAACCAACGUUUGAAGAGAAACCUCAAGAACCAGCAAUUCAGGAGAAACCUGAAGAACCAACAGUUGAAAAGAAACCUGAAGAACCAACAAUUGAUGAAGAACUUGAAGAACCAACAGUUGCGGAGAAACCCGAAGAACCAGCAGUUAAAGAAAAACAUGUAGAACCAGCAAUUGAAGAAAAACGUGAGGAACCACAAGUUGAAGAAAAACAUGAGGAACCAGCAGUUGAAGAAAAAACUGAAGAACCAGCAGUUGAAGAAAAACCUAAAGAACCAAAAGUUGAGGAGAAACCUAAAGAACCAGCGGCUGAGGAGAAACCCGAAGAACCAGCAGUGAAAGAAACACCUGAAGAACCAGCGGUUAAAGAGACACCUGAGGAACUAGCAGUUGAAGAGAAACCUGAAGAACCAGCAAUUGAAGAGAAACCUGAAGAACCAGUAGCUGACAAAAAACUUGAGCAACCAACAAUUGAGGAGAAACCUGAAGAAUCAAUAGUUGAAAAGACUGAAGAACCAGCAGUUGAUGAAAAAGGUGAAGAACCGUCAGUUGAAGAAAUACCUGAGGAGUCGGCAGUUGAAAAUUUUGAAGAAGCAGCAGUAGAAGAGAAACCUGAAGAACCAGCAGUUAAGGAAAAAACUGAAGAACCACCCAUUGAAGAAAAACCCGAGGACCAAGCAGUUGAAGAGAAACCUAAAGAACUAACAGUUGAAGAGAAACUUGAAGAACCAAUAAUUGAAGAGAAACCUAAAGAACCACCAGUUGGAGAAGAACCCAAAGAACAAAACAGGGAAGAUACUGAAGCUGC